rnacentral:rRNA from 1 species
GACGAACGCUGGCGGCGGGCUUAACACAUGCAAGUCGAACGGAAAGGCCCUGCUUUUGUGGGGUGCUCGAGUGGCGAACGGGUGAGUAACACGUGAGUAACCUGCCCUUGAUUUUGGGAUAACUUCAGGAAACUGGGGCUAAUACCGGACAGCAUCUCCUGUUCCAUUGUGGGGGUGGGAAAGUUUAGGCGGGCGGGGAUGGACUAGCGGCUUACCAGUUUGCUGGUUGGCGAGGGGCUGACCAAGGAUGUGACGGGUAGCCGGCCUGAGAGGGUGGCCGGCGACAAUGGGACUAAGAGACGGCGCAGACGGCUACGGGGGGCAGCAGUGGGGAAUAUUGCACAAUGGGAGGAAGCGUGAUGCAGCGGCGCCGCGUGCGGGAUGACGGCCUUCUGGUUGUGAACCGCUUUAGCCUGAGACGAAGCGUGUGUGACGGUAAUGGGUGAAGAAGCACCGGCUAACUACGUG